ACKGCUCAGUAACACGUGGCUAACCUACCCUCGAGACAGGGACAACCCCGGGAAACUGGGGCUAAUCUCCGAUAGAUGAGAACACCUGGAACGGGUUCUCGUCCAAAAGGCGCCUAGAUCAUGCUUCUAGACGCUGCUCAAGGAUGGGGCCGCGGCCGAUCAGGCUGUUGGUGAGGCAAUGGCUCACCAAACCUUUAACCGGUACGGGCCGUGGGAGCGGGAGCCCGGAGAUGGGAACUGAGACAAGGUCCCAGGCCCUACGGGGCGCAGCAGUCGCGAAAACUUGUCAAUGCACGAAAGUGUGAACGGGCUACCCCGAGUGCCGUCCGCUGAGGAUGGCUUUUCUCUGCUGUAAGGAAGCGGAGGAAUAAGGCGAGGGCAAGUCUGGUGUCAGCCGCCGCGGUAAUACCAGCUCGCCGAGUGGUAGGGAUGAUUAUUGGGCUUAAAGCGUCCGUAGCCGGCCUUUCAAGUCUCUCGUUAAAUCCAGCGAUUCAAUCGUUGGACUGCGGGAGAUACUGUUAGGCUAGGAGGCGGGAGAAGCCGACGGUAUUUUCGGGGUAGGGGUAAAAUCCUAUAAUCCCGGGAAGACCACCAGUGGCGUAGGCGGUCGGCUAGCACGCGCUCGACGGUGAGGGACGAAAGCUGGGGGAGCGAACCGGAUUAGAUACCCGGGUAGUCCCAGCUGUAAACGAUGCUGGCUAGGUGUUGGAGCGGCUACGAGCCGCUCCAGUGCCGCAGGGAAGCCAUUAAGCCAGCCGCCUGGGGAGUACGGCCGCAAGGCUGAAACUUAAAGGAAUUGGCGGGGGAGCAC
rnacentral:rRNA from 1 species